GUCUUAAUAGUUUAAAUUAAAAACGUCGGCCUUGUAAACCGAAAAUAGAAACUAAGCCAUCUUUCAGACA
rnacentral:tRNA from 1 species